rnacentral:antisense_RNA from 1 species
CUUGAUCGAGCCGAGCAUCAGGGGACGUUCGGGGUCGCGGCCCUGGCCGUAGGUGGCGAGCAGGGCCUGCGCCUC